ACAGGGUUCUCUCACGGACUCGCCGACUUGGGGCAAGGUGGAACUAGACUAGAAGAGACAGAUCUAUCUAACCUUUAAGAGAAAGUGUUUCUGGCUCCCGGAACAUGAAGCUCAUGUCGCCCAAAACUUCGAGAAGAAAGCAGGGCAGCUGCUAAAGGGUGCAUUAGGAAGGGUACGUGAAGAACAAGCAAAGCCUGAUUGGAUCCGUCCUGAGGCCUAUGACAAGCUAUUGCAGUACUGGGCGUCUGAUGAAUUUACGAAACAAAGUGAAAAAGGGAAGAAGGCCAGAAAUUCUACAAAGGGUGGCUCCCUACACACUAGUGGGGUAAGAGCCAAGCGGCUGUGAGGAAGGAGCUGGAACUCAAAGAAAAGAGGAUAUUGCCUCAAGAUGAGGCAUCCAAAAUCACUCACGUAAGGAAGAAGAAAAACAGUGAAGAACUAGACGAAUGGAUCGAGGAACGGGCUGAGCAGUUUUAUAUUCAAUUUCAACAAUCACGGGCUGAGUUAUGCAACAGUUUGCCACCUGGCACAGAGCCUACAGAUGAACAAUUGAAUGAACUUUGGAUGGCGACUGUUGGUGGCCCCACUAGGUUUGGCACAACUUAUGGAAUGGCAAAUAGAGCAUUUCGUAAAUUCCAGUCGCCGCCGCAAGGCAUAGGUUCUUCCAAUGAUCUUUGGUCGUCGGAUAGAGCGAGUGUUAUGGCCAUGGAGCGGAAGAUUGUUGAGCUAUCUAUC